rnacentral:lncRNA from 1 species
AUGAGUCAAUGUUUAGCUCAGGGAGACAAAAGGCCCUUUGAUAAGACCCUGGCCUCGGCAGACGCCUCCGCUCUGCGAGUGAGCUUGGAUUGCAUUCAGGAAGAGGGGGAGCAGGAAGCCGCGGUUAGUGAGCACCCCCCCCCACCCCCCUUGUCCUUUCAGAGGCCGUGGCUGUGGUAUAGACCCUGCAGUUUGGACCCUGGCCUGGCAAUCACGCUUCUAGUCGCCUCGUCUGAUAAGGCCCUCCUCACACCCAGGAAUUCUGGGCUUGUUCCGACAGAGAUGGGAGCGGGGCCAGGUAGCCACGUGGAGGGAGCUGGGACUUGCCUCCACUGCGGGGGUGGGGGUGGGGGGAAGGGCCACAGCUCGAUGAUGCUGGAGUCCUGUGUCCCUGAGCUUGCAUUUCUAGAGAGCCACCUCCUCUGUGAUGUGCCGGUUCCCUGGUCACCUAAGGAGCUGUUUACCUGAAGACCCCACCUUACCCGCCCCCCACCCACCCGUGAGGAGUGGGGGCUGGAGGAUGAGUCCAGUCACCCUUGGCCAGUGAAUUAAUAAACUGUGACUAUGCAAUGAAGCCUCCGUUAAA